rnacentral:lncRNA from 1 species
CAACAGAGGAAUAAGGGUCUCACAUAAAACAUUGCACAAAAUGCAGAGAUGACUCUAAAUUAAGAGCUAUAAGAAAAAUCAAAGGUGAUACCCCUCCACAGUGAAGUACACCUCUUAAGCGAAAUCAAAGGUGAUACCCCUCCACAGUGAAGUACACCUCUUAAGCAAAAUCAAAGGUGAUACCCCUCCACAGUGAAGUACACCUCUUAAGCGAAAUCAAAGGUGNN